UUUUCUCUAGUUUACUGGAUAAAAAGCAAAAGUAUACAAACGCUGGAGUCUAAUAAAAUUCCAACUGCAUCGAGAUAUGAAGGAGCCACAGCGAGAUUGAAAUUCCAAGAUAAUAAAAACAAACCAAAAUAUCUUGAUGCUAAGAUUAUCAGAAUGAGUAUUGUUUUUCUCCAAAAUUUUUACAUAACGAAAAUAUAAAACUUCAAAUAAAUUUUCUAACAUUGUUAAAUUAUUGAUGAUGAUAAAGAAUUAAAUGAGCUAAAUUAAAUGAGGUUGAUGAAGAAUCGGGAGAAAUUAUUGAUCAUUCACAAAAAGCAUUUACGAAAAAAAUUUUAGCUUCAAGAGUUUUACUGCAGGAAGCAAAAAAAGAUUGUGAAAAACGAAAAAGAUCUGUUGAAAAAAAGCGUGAAGAAGAUGCUCUAAAUAAUAAACCAUUUUUAGCGGAAGAAAAAGGACCUAAAUCAAAGAAAAUUAAAUCAUCAAAAAUUAUAAAAGGCACUACUUCAUUUCAAGCUCUUGAUAAAGAACAAAAAAAAGUUAAUACGGUUACAAUGGCAGUUAUUCCAUCAACUUCAUCCACCAGCGACCGAGUAAAGACACGAAGAUCUCAAAUACCGGGAAGUAAUUUAACAUCUGAUACUAAAGACAAUGAGGAAGAAGAAAAAGAAGAAGAAAUUAUGGAUUCAAUAUCUCCAAAAAACGUUUGUUGGAUACCUGGUGUAACAACGGAAAUUUUAGCUUUUCACAUGAAUCUUCUGGCAUCAAUCGAGUAUUCUUUGAAUCCUGGACGUCAAGAUAUUAUUAAUAAAGUGACGAAACUGACUAAGGAAAUUUUGACCAAUUCUGAAGAUAAGGUAGAAAUAUUUCCUAAUACUGGCUGCUAUCUCCGUAAAUCCGUAAUGACAAGCAUAGAUCUUCUUAAUUUCAAAGAAAAUGAUUGGAAAAAAUAUCUUACUAAUAUUUUAGUGCAAAUGUUUGGGGACAAAUUGAAAUUUAUAUCUGUUAAAGGCUAUCGAGGAAAUCUAGCUCUGCAUCCAAAAAUUUAGCGAGCUCUUUUCAGUUUAAUGAAUGAUAAAUCUGAAACUCAAAUUUCUUCAAAGGCGUUUAACCAAGUCCUCAAUAAAGCAUGCACAAAUAGAAAGGCAAAUUCCAUAAAAUCUCUGUCAUCAUUGAUGAGAAACAAGAAGACGAAGAAGAUGACGAUAAUGGAAAUUUUAACCAACAUUUAUCGACUUCAUCGAAUAAUCAGUACUUACCACCACGAUCUCUAUCCUCAUCACCGUGCUUCGAUAAUGAUUCAAGAACAUUAUCACUAGUAAUAGUUGACGACUGUAAAAAAUUUGAACAAGUUCUGGAGAAUAACAUUGAAAAAUCGCCAAAUAAUGAAUUAAUACUUACUUAUUCGGAAACGAAUGUAAAUCUUAACGACCGAUCAUCGACAGUAUUAUUGAAGCCAGUCAAUGACAAUCAACUAUCCGCAAAUGGUGAAGAAAUUAAUGUAGGAGUGUACCCUUCACGAGUAAAUACGCUUUUUAAUAAUGAUACAGAACAGCAAUCAACCCUUAAGUCAUCAGCGAUUAAUCCUGUUCAUUCAAAAUCAAACUUCGAGAAUCAAUCAAUAAUUCCAUCAACAGUUCCAUCCACUCAAUCAAAUCUAUAUCCAAGUGCACAGUCAAAAGUUACUUCGACAAUCGCUUCAAUUCAUUCCAAUCCACACUUUCGCAAUCAAGCGAUGGUUCCAUCAACAGCUCCAUCCACUCUAUCAAAUCUACAUCCCAGCGCACAGUCAACAGUCCCAUCAAUGAUGACUCCAACUUACUUCAAUCCACGCUUUUAUAACCAGUCAAUAAUCCCACCAACAGUUUCGUCCACUUACUCAAAUCAAUAUCCCCAGAAUCAAACAACUAUGACAUCUGUCAACUCACAUGCGUACCCUAAUCAUCGGUCAACAAACAACUUCGCUCAAUCAACUGCGCACAUUCAGAACCAAUCAACUAUCACACUUACUAACUUAAAUUCAUACUUUCGGCAUGAGUCAAUGAUUACUUCAACAAAUAGCUUACCUCACUCCAAUUGAUACUUUCCAAACCAACCAAUGAAUUCAUCAACAGCUUCACCCAUUUACUCGAAUUCAUAUUUAUAUAAUCAACCCCAAAAUACUUUUACUGGAUAUCAUGGUGAACCUAAAUGGUAUUCACAUCAACAAAAUUAUUUUCCAAGUAACCAAAGUCAAC